GACGAACGCUGGCGGCGUGCUUAACACAUGCAAGUCGAGCGGUAAGGCCCUUUCGGGGGUACACGAGCGGCGAACGGGUGAGUAACACGUGGGUGACCUGCCCUCAGCUCUGGGAUAAGCCUGGGAAACCGGGUCUAAUACUGGAUAUGACUCCAUGACGCAUGUUGUGGGGUGGAAAGCCUUGUGCGGCUGAGGGUGGGCCCGCGGCCUAUCAGCUUGUUGGUGGGGUGAUGGCCUACCAAGGCGACGACGGGUAGCCGGCCUGAGAGGGCGACCGGCCACACUGGGACUGAGACACGGCCCAGACUCCUACGGGAGGCAGCAGUGGGGAAUCUUGCGCAAUGGGCGAAAGCCUGACGCAGCGACGCCGCGUGAGGGAUGACGGCCUGUGU
rnacentral:rRNA from 1 species